UACGUAGGGGGCAAGCGUUGUUCGGAAUGACUGGGCGUAAAGGGUGCGUAGGCGGAAUAUCAAGUCAGCGGUAAAAAUUCGGGGCUCAACCCCGUCGUGCCGUUGAAACUGAUGUUCUUGAGUGGGCGAGAAGUAUGCGGAAUGCGUGGUGUAGCGGUGAAAUGCAUAGAUAUCACGCAGAACUCCGAUUGCGAAGGCAGCAUACCGGCGCCCAACUGACGCUGAAGCACGAAAGCGUGGGUAUCGAACAGG
rnacentral:rRNA from 1 species